CUUUGGGGUAACCUGCCGAUAGGGAUGACAGUUGGGAGAGGCUGGCUCCCACCUGCUCAAGGUGAAUGAUGAAGAGACCAGAAAGCUGGGAACCCAGAGUUCUCUGCCUCGGGGGUUCUGGACUCAUCCCCUGCAAUACUGCAGCACGAACGGGGCCGAAACAGUGGGUGGCUGGGCUCGCAGUGAUGUGCCCCUCACUCUAGACAUGACCCUCGGUGAGAGGCAGCCUAUGGCCACACGCCAAAGAAUUGUGGGGGACAGCUCCCUGACCUGCCUCACGUCCCUUGCAACCAGCCAGACAAACCAGGCUUGCACUUUGUGGCCACAGAAAAGAGGAAGUACCACAUUCAGCACGGGUCAGGCAGCAUCUGGGGUCUGGGCAGUGGAUUCAUUGAACAUCAAAAUUAUUCAGGGAUCUAAGAGACUGAAAGUUCAAAACCAUGCACACAGAGGGAAACCUUGACUAAAGUGGAGAUGUUCCACCUGAAGGAAAGAAUGGACAGAAUUCCGUAACUACCACCAAAAGCCCAAUGGUCUGUCAUAGGGGGAGAAGGGAUUCACCUGCAUCAAGUUCCUUAUCAGUCAUAGUCUGUCGCUUCUGAUGACAGAGGCAGGAUUGGUCCCAGCGAGCAGCCCCACCAGGGAUCAAGCCAGAGGAAAGGAAUACAAAUAUCAUCGGGGACUGUCCAGUGAAAAGGUGCCCACAGAAGAAUGCCCUGCCUGUGGGUGCACAGCUUCUGGAAGCAGAAUCUGGUUAGAAACUGCAUGCAUACUCCUGACUCUGGUCUUCUUAUAUUUUUAUUAAAUUUUUUUUUUUUUU